UACGAAGGGUGCAAGCGUUACUCGGAAUUACUGGGCGUAAAGCGUGCGUAGGUGGUGAGUUAAGUCUGUCGUGAAAGCCCCGGGCUCAACCUGGGAAUGCCGAUGGAUACUGCGGAGCUAGAGUACGGAAGAGGCGAGUGGAAUUCCUGGUGUAGCGGUGGAAUGCGCAGAUAUCAGGAGGAACACCAAUAGCGAAGGCAGCUCGCUGGGACGUUACUGACACUAAGGCGCGAAAGCGUGGGGAGCGAACAGG
rnacentral:rRNA from 1 species